rfam:Gossypium raimondii chromosome 5, whole genome shotgun sequence.
AUUCCAUGAUGAGGGCAUUUUCGUAAUAGUUCUUUGAAUCUCUCCCACGCCUCAUACAAGGAGUCAUCAUCUAUUUGUUGGAAGUUAGGGAUCUUAGUUCAAAACUU